CUACUUGAGAUGUCAGUCGUUAACACUAAGGUGACAGCGAAAUAUAUAGCUAAAAACUCAUCACUAAAAAACACAACACUAGCAGAUUUUUAACACGUCGGAUUUAAAAUUAAUGAUGUUUACAAAGCUACACUCAUUGCUUAAAAUGCUAACAUUUUUCCUGAUAGUUCUGCAAAGUAGAGCCAAACCAGUGCCCAGUGCUGAUCCUUCUAAGGACAUAAUGAAGAAACUGCAGAGCAUCUUUAAAAUUGACGAAGGCCUUAUGGUAUACAACACUGGAGUAGCAAGAGAAGAACUUGAGGAUGAUGAAAUCGUUUGUGCCGAACGUAGAGCUGGAAAAUCGUAUUGCAAGGAGGUUGAAAAUUAUAUGGAGGCUACACGGCUUGAUAAAAUUGACCCAGAAGAGUUUGAAAAAUUCAGAGAGUAUUUCACAGAUGAUAUAUCGAUGCCGCUGAAUAUAGCAACACGUAUGAAGAUCGAGGCGGUAAAGAAACUUGGCAAUACCAAGACAAACGUGAUAUAUCCAGAGGGUGCUGAGUCAGGGGAUACUAAAUGGUUGUUGAUAGUCCAACAUGAGCAACACAAGCAAGCUGUUCUAGUGGAGGAGUGUGAAAAUAGGGAACGACUUGGUGAAGAGAAUAGUACCCUACCGCUGGAGAAUAUCCCUAAAUGUAAACAAAACUUCAGUUAUCGCAAGAUGGUGGUGUUGGUGAAUGGCCUUAUGAAAGAGGAAAUGAUUAAAUUACCAAGUGCCUGUGAAUGUAGCAUGAGCUCCAUUUGAGAUUAUUCUUAGUUAUAAGACUAAAAUAUGUAAAAAUAUUUGAUUUUGGAUAGCGUAGAAUUUUGAGGUCAUAAAAAAAUAUUAAAAUUAUAAAAAACAUUAGAUAUUUUACUAGAAUUCGCUUUCUUUGUAGCAAUAUUAUUUAUGUUAACAGACAUAAUCAAUUAAAAGUCAUUAAAAUUGGUGGACAUUUGCAGAGCUCCCAAAAAUAGCCGGUUUUUAUAAAUUUAAUGUAUAAAGAUAAGAAUAUCUAUGAGAUGUCUACUUAAAUCUAUAAAUUUGUUCCCAAUAAAUCCAAUGGUUCUGGAUAACCGUAUCACAUGGAUGAUGAGUUAGAUUACCAAUGAUUGCAUUUACGUAAUAUCGCACCAAAUUGAGUCUUCAGAAGAAUUUUCGAAAACAAGUGUACAGAUUAAAUUGCGAAUAAUAUACUUUUUUUGUUCGUUCAUAAACAAUUGCUCUCUGCACCAGGUAGCUUGCUGCGAACUUUUAUUUAGAUACAAUAUGACGUGUUUUCAAAUCAAAGAUUUCUUAAACAAGCUGCUUUCCAGAUAAGACAUACCAGUUCUUAUGUGAAUUAUGAGAUAUUAGGGGCUGAGUUUUCCCAAAACAAAUAUAUGCGCAUACUUUGGGCUGAACUAUAAAUGAUAUAAAUAAACUACACCUUAGAAUAUUCAAAAUACAAUUCAAACUCAAGCACAUAAUGGUUGUAAUUGUAGUACCUACACAUUUCCUAAUAGCGCUUGAAACAGUUGGCAGAGUAUCAGCAAUGCUCAAGACAGGUGCUUCUUAGGACAUUGUGGAUAAAUUAAAGAAUAUUUUUAAAUUUGAAGAUGGUAUUAUGAUAUUUAUCACCGAAAUAGCAAGGACUUGAAGGUGACGAAAGUAUUUACAGCGAACGUAGGACUGGAAAAAAAACAUCGUUGGAAGUCAUAUGGAAUUAAUCUCUCCAAAGCAAUUAACUAGUAAAUCCAAAGAUUUAAAAAAUUGUAUGCCUUAAUAUUUAGAAGUAGUAUAUGAAAUUGAUGUUAAAAUGAUAUAAUAGCACAUUAUAGAAAAUAAAUAGUUAGUUUAAUAUUUCACAUAGAUAGAUAGAGUAUCAAAUUAAUUUUUCAGACGAAUAACAUAAAUAUAUACACCCAACAAUCGAGAGGACUCGAUCGAUCAAAUUUUUUGCGAGAAAGAAUAAUAUUUUCAGCUUAUAGUAGUUGUGAGAUUUGAAAAGCAUCUCUGGCUCAAAAAAAAUGCCUGUUAAAUGUAUUGUCUUGUGUUCCAGGCUUUGCUGACCAGGUACAAUUGUCACAUACCAUUGUAUAGAAAUCAUCAUCAAACGUUAAUGUUCAUAGGAAAACUACCUGUCGUAAUUUACUUGCUGAGGUGUAUGGUAAACUCAGCUCAGUUAUAUUGAAAUUUUCAAAGUGACAUGUCGCCAAAAAUGGAACGAUAACUAAGCAAUACUGUGUUUAGUUAUAAAAAUAAAUUAGUGCAAAGUUCUGCAGAAGUACCAAUAACUUUUGAAGAGCAAAAGGUCACUUGAUAACGGCAAGUUGUUAUUCAACUAUUCGGGUAAAGAACAAAACAUAACUUGUCACCGACGAAAGGAUUUAUCCCAAGUGGUUAUGCUGUGAACAUGCGCCCUCGGCAAAACUCGGUUUUCGUUGGCCCCAGUCCCAGUCAAUUCAUGAUGCCAAGACCGCCGCGUAAAACACGCUCCGCCAUGGAUUUACAUUCGAUGGUGUUGGAUGAAGCGGCAGAGCAGGUUUAAAUACAUAUUGAAGUUUACUAUGAAUCACAACAUCGCUUAAGAUCGACACUAAAGUUUCUUAUGUAAACAAUAUGAAUGCUUUUGCUCAUUAACGCUCUCACCUAUUUGAAAGAAAUCAAUAGAAUACUUACUCCAAUGUAAUUGUUUGCUCUUGCACUUGUUAUUUUCUACAAGUCACUACUAUUUACCAACAACUACGAUAUAUAUUUAUAUAUCUUUUAAACACUAUACAUACUUACGAACAUACUUUUAUGCUUAAGAAUUCUUCCUACUAUAAUGAUAUAAUGUUAUAUAAGUUGCGUUCUUAUUAUAUAUGUACGUGGAAUACAUGUUUCUAUGAUAACUAUCGAAACUUUUUCUUAUUCUAAGUCACCUACUUACAAAGGAAACUAUGUAUAUAUCUACUAUAUUACUUAGGCAAUUGAGUGUUUUAUACAUUUUAUAUAUAUGUACAAGUAUAGUAUAUAUAUACUAAUUAAGAUAUCUUCAAUAAAAAUGUGAAGGCAUUGGCUUCGAGUCUUUAUAUUUUUAUAUACACACUUCUUAAGAUUUUUAGCCAGAGUCACCGCUAUCAUAUUUUUUUCAUAUCUUCUGUAUACAAAAUACUCAAGCAAGCGACAAUUGUUCGGAAGUAAAUUUAGUUGCUCGUAUAUUCUUGGCUAAGAUUGCUUUCCACUAUCUACUAGUUUGUAUUUCUAUUUAUUAGUAUAUUGUUGGCUAAAUGAAGGUAAAAUAUCCAUAUCCACUAUCAUCCGAAGUUUAAGAUAUGUUUCUGAUAACAUUUUGAAAACACUUAGUAUUAGAAUAUAUUAUAGGUUGUUAAAGGAGAGGCAUUUCCAUUGAAGAAACUCCGGAAAAAUACACUUAAUGGUACAUUGCUGAUUCUAAUUCAGGAAUCAUUUUAAAAACCUUACAUUAUAAUUUUAGGAAUAAAAUAUUCAAUAUUAUUCAGAGCUUUGAUAUAUUGCGGUUUCCGAUAUACAGGCAGCAAAUUCGUGUCAAUAAUUGUGUUAUUUAAAUGAUAUAGCUAUUUGGAAUCAAAUUUGUGUCUACCGUUAUAGGUAUAUGCUUACGGUGGAAUAAUCUUGAUAAAUAAAAACAAUAAAAGUUGGGAAAUAAAAGUAAUUAUUAAGCGAUAAUCUUGGUAACUAGACCUGAUAUUAUUAAAAAAAUAGGAAGACAAUAUUGAACUAACGAUCAACGGUGUUAUUCCAGCCGAUCGCCCUUUCGGUCUGCUCUAUGGAUGAUAUGAAAUAGCGGCAUUUUUCUGUAAGUAAACUUUACCUAAAAUUUUGUUCGUUCUUGGCCUGACAAAAUUCGAUAAUAUCAAUCUAA